rnacentral:rRNA from 1 species
GAGUACGGCCGCAAGGUUAAAACUCAAAUGAAUUGACGGGGGCCCGCACAAGCGGUGGAGCAUGUGGUUUAAUUCGAUGCAACGCGAAGAACCUUACCUACUCUUGACAUCCAGAGAAUUUAGCAGAGAUGCUUUAGUGCUUUCGGGAACUCUGAGACAGGUGCUGCAUGGCUGUCGUCAGCUCGUGUUGUGAAAUGUUGGGUUAAGUCCCGCAACGAGCGCAACCCUUAUCCUUUGUUGCCAGCACAUUAUGGUGGGAACUCAAAGGAGACUGCCGGUGAUAAACCGGAGGAAGGUGGGGAUGACGUCAAGUCAUCAUGGCCCUUACGAGUAGGGCUACACACGUGCUACAAUGGCGUAUACAAAGAGAAGCGACCUCGCGAGAGCAAGCGGAACUCAUAAAGUACGUCGUAGUCCGGAUUGGAGUCUGCAACUCGACUCCAUGAAGUCGGAAUCGCUAGUAAUCGUAGAUCAGAAUGCUACGGUGAAUACGUUCCCGGGCCUUGUACACACCGCCCGUCACACCAUGGGAGUGGGUUGCAAAAGAAGUAGGUAGCUUAACCUUCGGGAGGGCGCUUACCACUUUGUGAUUCAUGACUGGGGUGAAGUCGUAACAAGGUAACCA